rnacentral:tRNA from 1 species
CAUCUUUGAGAAAUCAACACAAUACUUUUAGUAUUAACAGAGUUUAACUACUCCUCAAAAAC